UGCAAAAUAAAAGUAGAAAACAAGUAAGCCCACAUUCAAUCCUCCUAUUAGUGCAGUAAACAGCUAAGUGGAGUCUAACUAAUAAUAUCAGGUAAAUAGUUCGUGGAUAUUAACAAGGUCUCAGAAAUUUCUGAGGCCAUCAAAGCAAUACUCUGUCUGGAAGAGCCUAUGGCCAAAUAAGCGUUACAAACUGACAAGAUUUCGUAAAUGGUAAAAGAAUACCAAAUGAGAGCAUCUUUAUCUUUUUAUAUUGCUAUAACACCAAAAAUGACUAAUACAAAUAAUUCGAAGAUGAAGAAAGCAGCAGAUACCAUAAUUUCAAUUUUAAGCUCAGAAAAUGGUGUACUAAUUUAGAGAUUUUCCUCCGUAUGAAGGACUGACGGAAUGAUGAUGGGUGCAACCACAAUGCCACACCACUUCCACACAGAAUCAGGAAGGACAAUAUAAGGGAGAAUACUGUAUAAGAAAGAAUCUAUAAAAAAGCUACAUGCAAAAGACAAAAGCAACUGACAUUUCU
rnacentral:misc_RNA from 1 species